GUUCUUCUUUCUACCUUUCUAAGAUUCCACCAUGUUGCUUGUUUAGUUCAACCAGUGCUGAUAGGGACACGUUUGCACUUGUCUCUCAGUGAACAUUCGCAAGAGAUUUUCUAGGCCUCCAGGCAGAAGCCGCUGCUGACGGGGAGAGUCUGCUGGAGGAAGUCACAUGGCAGAUGCCAGAGGACCAGCCUGGGAGAGGCUUUCUAGCAACCAGGACACCUGCCGCAGUGCCACGCUUUCUCCAGGAAACAAGGACAGCUGCACGGGUGCCCACACGAGAGUCGGCGACCAGCCUCGGCGGUGGGGUUCCUGCAACGCGUGUUCCUGCUGGGGUUCUCCUUUCUGCUGUUCCGAGCUACAGUGCGGAUCAUGCUCCCCAUACGUGGAGUCCAGGGACAGCACAGCCCGGGGACUGCCCAGCCAGCCAGGAAGUCUGGCUUUCAGAGAACUGGGAAGACCAUCUUCCACUUUAUCCCAUCUGGGAGACUGUAAACAUGGAUUCCACUGUCUCGGACAGUGAGACGAUUCCCAGUCUUUUCCUGUUCCUCCUCUAGGUAUGUAGCUGCUAUCAGCUUCCAGAAACGCUGGAAGGAAGGGCGUUGCUUUGGCAGGACACGUGGGGAGAUGGGCUGGGAGGGGAGAUCCCGGAGGUAAGGAGGGGAGGCUUUCCUCUCCCCACACUGGGAACUCAGUUUCUAGCCCCAGGUUCCUGGUUGUGUCCGGCAUCCCAGGAGCAUGAGUGGGAAGCUGCUGCAUCCACCUGCCGUGUGCAGUCGGGGACCAGCUGCAGAGCGCACUAUGCAUCCUUUAGACUCUGCAGGCUCAAGUGAAAACCCAGCUCUGCCACUGCUCUCUGGAUGACCUUGCCACCU
rnacentral:lncRNA from 1 species